GGAAGACAGCUGACGAUCUUCAGUCAUAAUUCAAUGGGGUUCGAGAGCCAUGUGGGUCAUUGUUGCCCGAUGAGCUGCACCUGGUUCGGGAAGCCUACAAGAAGAGAGCCCAUAACACUGCCAGCAGAUUGGUGUCUUUGUCUCCCUCUCACUCCUCUGGGCACUCUCUCCGGGCCAGCCUCGGGGAUCUGUUGUUGGUGCCGCGUCCUCAUUUUUGUUUAUAAAAAUAAACUUCUUUAUUAUUCACAACCCUCGUCUCGCCUCCCAGCUUUAUGUUGCAGCCCACGAGCCGGGUUGUAACAGAAGGCAUGUGAACACUUCAGAAUAUCCAUCCUGCUUUCAAUUAGAAUGACUCAUUAGUAAUAACUUAAUAAUGUUUUAAGCGAUGGGGCAGGAAAGGUUAAAUCCUUGUGUCUGAUUGGUUCAUUUUUAAACAUGUGAUCAAUGAGGGGCUCAAGUGUUCCUCCUACACAUUGCGUUUUAUCUUUCACCGAUAGUGAGGAGCUGGGUCACUUCCAGGAAUAAUACAGAUAUUAGCUGAUUAAAAAAAAAGUAAUUUUUUAUUAUACAAAAACACCAACACUUACAAUACAGGAAAACAAAGACAAUUUUGAAAUAAAUCAUCCUGUAAUAAACCUUGUGAAUCUGAAGCAAAGAGUAGCCUACUUCGUUAACAAGGGGGCAAAGGAAAAAUGAUCUGGAUUGUGUUUCAAAGUCCAUAAAGAAUGAAGGGUACACAAUACAAAUCCACAUGGCCAACAUCUGCUAGUUAACUUUUCAAAAGUAUUAUCAGUAAUUUCAUAGAACAGAGAACUUAAUGCAAACCCUUCCCACCCUUCUGUGUGAGUAUAAAGGCCAUGUUUGAUGCUGUUGAAUCUGGACUGUUUCCAACUGUGGUUUCCCAAAAUGCCAAAGACAUCUCGCCUGUCACCAGUGGUAUCUCUCCAUGCAGAGAGUGAAUUUUAUUGUUCCAGGUUUUGAGAUAGCUUUGCCUCCAUCACAAUCCAAUGAAUGAAAACGUAGAUAUCAUAGUUUCUGAAAGUUCAGUUAAAGACUCCUUUAACCUCCUAGUGCCUCGAUAGGGGGAGUGGAGAAGAAGAACACACCAUUUUUGGGAAAACACAGAGCUGGAGUCCAGACUUGGUUAGCCUAGCUUAGCAUAACAACUGGAACCAGCUAGCUUGGGGCAGCCCAUAAUGCCUCGUAAAUCCCCAGACGUAUUGGUUAUUUGUCCCUAUAGAGAUGUAUUGUCAACCUAAGAUCUCGGGAGUGGAUACCAUCGAGCUAAGUGGGAUUUCUUUAUGUAGUUUGGGUGAACUGAUCUUUAUCACAGCCUUUCAAUUGCCAACAUGAAUAAAACAAAUACACAGACCUAAAAAUAAGCUUCAUUAGCCUCAUCAUCAUCUGUAUUUCAGUUCCAGAUACUGACAGUGUUGUUUCUAUAUGCCAGUAUUUUUUCACAAGUGGAGAGCAGGUCCCUGAGAUUGAUCUCCUGAUGGCUUGGAGUCCACAUGCACAGCAAGCCAUCCUGAUAAAAGUAGGAGUGUAGAGUUCAGUAGCUGCCCUGUUUACUGCAUGAUGUGAGAAAGUGGCCUAUAUGUAGUAGGUGUUGAGACUUAAGGUAAUGUUCAAUCCAUCCAUCCCUGUCCAACCACACAAUAUCAUCAGCAUCAGCAUA